UCCCUGGUAGUCCAGUGGUUAAGACAGCAAGCUCCCAAUGCAGGGGACCCAGGUUAAACCCCUGGUCAGGGAA
rnacentral:tRNA from 1 species